AUUGAACGCUGGCGGCAUGCCUUACACAUGCAAGUCGAACGGUAACAGGUCUUCGGAUGCUGACGAGUGGCGAACGGGUGAGUAAUACAUCGGAACGUGCCCGAUCGUGGGGGAUAACGAAGCGAAAGCUUUGCCAAUACCGCAUACGAUCUACGGAUGAAAGCAGGGGAACGCAAGGCCUUGCGCGAACGGAGCGGCCGAUGGCAGAUUAGGUAGUUGGUGGGAUAAAAGCUUACCAAGCCGACGAUCUGUAGCUGGUCUGAGAGGACGACCAGCCACACUGGGACUGAGACACGGCCCAGACUCCUACGGGAGGCAGCAGUGGGGAAUUUUGGACAAUGGGCGAAAGCCUGAUCCAGCCAUGCCGCGUGCAGGAUGAAGGCCUUCGGGUUGUAAACUGCUUUUGUACGGAACGAAAAGACUCUGGUUAAUACCUGGGGUCCAUGACGGUACCGUAAGAAUAAGCACCGGCUAACUACGUGCCAGCCGCCGCCGUAA
rnacentral:rRNA from 1 species